rnacentral:misc_RNA from 1 species
AUUUGUUUGAGUCGUGGCACUGCCUGUAAAUUAUAAUCAAAAUAGAUGCACAAAGGUUACUUAAGAUUUCAUUUGGUAAAAAAAGAAUAUAUAUAUAGUACAAAAUAUCAAAUUUUAUUUUUUGUUAAAAUUUAAACUUUUAUCUGUCAAUUGUUAAAAAAGACACAAGUAUUUUAUAUUUAAAAUAAUUAAUGAGGAAUAAUUGAGAAAAGAUUUAUAAUUAACAAUAUGUUGACUGCUUCAUUUGGGAGGAGUGUAAGGAGGCAAAGUUUGGUGUGUAAGUAAAGUAUGGUAAUAUGAUAAAAGGUAAGGUAAGGGUUUUUAAUAUUACGUUAUUUGGGAUGAAAUUAAGGCAAAUGAUAGUUUACUAACCUUAUGUUGUAUGGAUCAAAGGCAUGAAAGGUAGAGAUAGGUAAUAAUUAAUAUUUAAUUUACAAAAACCUUCACAACACCCUAAUUUGGUGGGCUAAGAAACUGAAGGUUUUUGAAAUUUUAAAAACCUCUAAAAACCCUCAAAAACCUUACCUU